rnacentral:lncRNA from 1 species
GUGACAGUGUCAUUGCAUCUUUUGUUUCUUGGUGUGUUCGUUUUGCGAAAUGGCGAGUUCUUCGAGCAGGGUAAGCGCGUUCAUCUUUGGUGGGUUUUGGUGUUUAGUGUUUCUUAUUUUGAGUUUGGGUUUUGUGUGUUUAAUUUCAUUUAGGGUUUUUAAGUUUGGUUUUUUGGAUUUUAUAUGCAGUUGACGGUUCGCCACUUAGUUUUUUGGAUUUGGAAAGAACUACUACCUUAAUAUCGUCCAUCGAAACGUAGUCAAAGUUUUAACAGCUG